CCCUUAGAUGUUCUGGGCGGCCCGCGCACUACAUUGGCACUAGCAAAGAGAUCCUAGAUUGAAUUCUUUGGGGUAUUCUUCUAAAUGGUGUCGUGACUGGGAUAAAUCCUUGUAAUUAUUGGUUUUGAACGAGGAAUUCCUUGUAAUCGCGGUUUAUCAGCUCGCGUUGAAUGCGUCCCUGCCCUUUGCACACACCGCCCGUCGCUCCUACCGAUGGAUCGUCCGGUGAAGCUCACGGAGUGACUGUUCACGCAACGGUUUACGAAGUGAAAUGGACCUCACGAUUUAGAGGAAGGAGAAGUCGUAACA
rnacentral:rRNA from 1 species